UACAGAGGAGCCAAGCGUUGUCCGGAUUGACUGGGCGUAAAGCGCACGCAGGCGGACGCGCGCGUGGGGUGUGAAAUCUGGCCGCUUAACGGCCAGGCGCCAUCCCAUACGGCGCGUCUGGAGUGAUGCAGAGGUCGGUGGAAUUGCCGGUGUAGUGGUGAAAUGCGUAGAGAUCGGCAGGAACACCCAGGGGGAAACCAGCCGACUGGGCAUCUACUGACGCUGAGGUGCGAGAGCGUGGGGGAGCGAACAGG
rnacentral:rRNA from 1 species